rnacentral:lncRNA from 10 species
ACAAGUUGCUGCAUGAAUACAGGCUCACAGUUAGACUACAUUCCUAGCCUCCUGAAGAGUUAGGUACAGCUGUGUGACUGAAUUCCUGCCAAUGAAAUGUGGUGAGAACCACUUCCAGGCCUGGCCCACAGAAACCUCCCAUAGACAAUUCUUCAUCCUCUUUCCUUUUGCAUCAGGCCUGAUACAGAAGAGCAUGACAACUUUGGAACCCCUGCAUAGAAAGCGGAGAAGCCACAAGCUGAGGAGCUUCUGGAUUCUUCCAAUUUUAGCAGUCCUUCCAAUUUUAGCUCUGGAUUUUGUUCAAAUGAGAAACAAAUCCCAACAUUUCCAAAGCAAGUAAUAUUGUACAAUCAUAAGUCAUUUCAAAAUCACAGAGAAAAGUAGCAAUCUUCCCAAAGAAUUAAGAAAGUCUGCUAGGCCACGAAACAAGUGUUAAUAAAUUUGAAAAGACUGACUGAAAUUAUACCUCAUAUCUUUUCUAAUCAUAGUGAACUGGAACCAGAAAUUAAUAACAGAAGGAAAGCUGGAAAAUCCACAAAUACGUGGAAAUUAAACAAUACACUCUCAAACAACCAAUAGGUUAAAGAAGAAAUCAUAAAAGAAAUUAGAAAAUAUCUUGAGAUAAAUGAAAAAGAGAACACAACAUAACAAAGCUUAUGGGAUGCAGUAAAGGCAGUGCUAAGAGGGCAAUUUAGAGCUGUAAAUGCUUACACCAGAAAGGGAGAAAGACCUGAAAUCAACAAGUUCACUUUACACCUUAUGGAUCUAGAAAAAGAAGAACAAACUAACCUCAAAGCUAGCGAAGGAAGGAAAUAAUGAGAAAAGGACAGAGAUAAACAAAGUAGAGACUAGAAAAACAACAGAGAAAAUGAAUGAAACCAAGAGUCGUUUCUCUGAAAAAAUCAACAAAAUUGACCAACCUUUAUCUACAUUAACUUAGGAAAAAAAAGAAAAAAAGAAAGAGAAGACUCAAAUAAAUCAGAAAUGAAAGAGGGACAUUACAACCAAUUUCACAGAAAUAGACAGU